ACCUACGGGGGGCAGCAGUGAGGGAUAUUGGUCAAUGGCCGGGAGACUGAACCAGCCAAGCCGCGUGAGGGAUGACGGCCCAAAGGAUUGUAAACCUCUUUUGUCGGGGAGCAAAGCCCGCCACGCGUGCCGGGGCGAGUGUACCCGAAGAAAAAGCAUCGGCUAACUCCGUGCCAGCAGCCGCGGUAAUACGGAGGAUGCGAGCGUUAUCCGGAUUUAUUGGGUUUAAAGGGUGCGCAGGCGGACCGUUAAGUCAGCGGUCAAA
rnacentral:rRNA from 1 species